GCGGAAGUGGCGGAAUGGCAGACGCGCUAGAUUCAGGUUCUAGUGGGAGUUUUAUCCUGUGGGAGUUCAAGUCUCCUCUUCCGCA
rfam:Ruminococcus lactaris ATCC 29176 Scfld_02_16 genomic scaffold, whole genome shotgun sequence.